AACGGUUCCGCCAGCGGCCUUGAAGGAGACGGUGGCCCCAUGUGCUGUGUUGAGGAUGUCCGUCAAACCGUGGGGAAGUAAGCUGAAGCAGGACACGUCUGGUCUGAAGCGACCCAUGGAAAGCUGAUAGAGAGGUGUCUGUGGAAAACGGCUCUGGUCUCCCUCACUGCCGCCUGAUGCCACCCUGCUGGCUUCCCCCCCAGUGUCUGGCGUCCUGCCGAGAGUGUUGGCCCUGCCACCCAUCUUGGGUGUCCACACUGAGGAAGCCCAGGACAGGACAGCUGUUUAGGGAGAGGGUGGACCAGGAGGCCUGCACUAAGACCUGGAGGGCAGAGUCUCCAGAGUGACCACCCUGUGUCCUGGAGCAGGGGUGGCUCCAGGAGGCCUGGGGACUGGGAUCCUGUUUAGUGAACUGAGUGUUUCCUGUGAGUGACCUGGAGAGAGAGGGGCAACGGGGUCAGGGGCAGCAUCUGGGGUCUGCAGGAGAGAAGUAGAGAUGGGCUGUGCUGUCCAAGGGAGCAGUCACCAGUAGGGAGCAUCAGGGUUUCAGAGUAAAGGUUUUAAAAGAGGCAGCCCCGUCAGGCGGUGCAGCUCUGGCGAGCGGCAGACUCGGGUGUUCCCAGUCAGUGGUGCCCAAGAGGCUGGGUGCUGGCGGGAAUGGAGAGAACUUCCGCAGCCUUCUCCUGCUCGCACCCCUGGGAUGGCCGGCUGUGGCCUGCUCUGGACGGGCUGGGUGACGUGGAGCUGAGGAUGUAGACUUGGGCCUCAGGUCUCAGGGUUGGUCCUGGGUGGCCAGGGGACAGAACCAGCAGACCAGUUUUCCUGAGGUUUGUUUCAUGAAAGGCAAAACAUUUGAAUCCCCUGUUCAGAUGGGGGGAGGGGAGAUGGGUUUGUGCAGAGGAAGGUCUGGG
rnacentral:lncRNA from 1 species